AAAAGGCGUCUCAGUUCGGAUUGCAGGCUGCAACUCGCCUGUAUGAAGUCGGAAUUGCUAGUAAUCGUGGAUCAGCAUGCCACGGUGAAUACGUUCCCGGGCCUUGUACACACCGCCCGUCACACCAUGAGAGCCGGGAACACCCGAAGUCCGUAGUCUAACCUAUAUGGAGGACGCGGCCGAAGGUGGGUUUGGUAAUUGGGGUAAAGUCGUAACAAGGUAAC
rnacentral:rRNA from 1 species